UCAGCAGGACGACCUGUUGAUCAAUCUAAUAACCGAGACGACUCG
rnacentral:ncRNA from 1 species